rnacentral:lncRNA from 1 species
AGCCUCGCUGCAAUCUGGUGGCUUUACCACAUAUAUAUAUCUGUUCUGGUGGCCUAGCCACAAUAUCUGUAUCUGGUGACUUCGUCACAAUAUCUGGCAGCCUCGCUGCAAUUUCUCUGGUGUGUAGCGGUUGGGUGGGUCGAGUAGUCUCCCCACAUGGUGUAAGGCUGGUACGGGGGUGUUAUGAAUGGCUCUGGGUUG